rnacentral:lncRNA from 1 species
CUUUUAUUUCCCUUUAUUUGGAUGGGGGGAGUGGGGAAAAUUAUGAUGCCAUACAGCAAACAAGAUUGGAGAGAAAUCAUUUGGGCUCAAGCUUGGAACAACUUUCUAAUGAUUUUAAGAUAGUUACUGUGCCUGUGAAUUACAUAUUGGUAAAGCAAUUUUUUUACCUAUCUUCCAGUGAUCAAAAUAAAAUUAAUUUUUCUAAAGUCAUAUUUAGGAGAGACUAAACAGAACCCACAAAUCAUUUUAAUCAUCCCAAUGGAUAGCAAAGAUUUUAAUCUUAAAUUAACUGAGAAAAUUGGAAUUUUGUUCAUAAUAUGUAAAUGGCCAGUAUAUAAAGGGUCACAUAGCUUCUCUAUAUUGUCAUUCCUCCUGGAAACUAAGCUUAAGUAUUGUAAGUAUGUGCAAAGUUAAAGAGGUGCUUAGAAACCAUGAAUUAAAACAUUCAAAGGUGAAAUAUCUUGAUAGUUUAAGCAACUGAAUUCUUUGGUAGAAGAGAAUCAAUUGUAAAGUCUUAUGGGUUCAUCAUGAAGUUUCCCAAGGCUUCCAUGGUUGAUAUAGGUCUUACCCCUGACUGAUUAGAGCUUAAUUUAGCUCCCUUGAAGCCUCUCCUUUUAAUGAGUUGCUUUCAUUGGCUCCCUAGUCACCAGAGGCACACUUUCUCCCUCUAGUGGUUGAGCCUUCUGAUAGUUUAUAUUUGGGUUACCCUCUCUCCCCAGGAGUGAGAUUCUUGAACACAGGAAGGAGAUGGAUCUCAGAUUUUGGAGUGGCAAAAGUCUCAAUGGCUGCUCUGAGUUAGACCACCUUGUACACCUUUCCUUUCUUUAACAUCACAUGCUCCUUUCUCAUUUGCAGAUCAUAGUGUAUUCAACUCAUUCAGGGAAGUCAAGGUUGUUUACAUGCUAGGAUUGGGGUUCUGUUUCAUGCUUCUGGAGCUAUGGUCCUGGCACUAAAACUUACAAUGAAAUCCACUCAUGGGAAGGAACCCUUACAUAAAUUGCAGUAAUUCAAGAUUGUCUCCACAGUAUUUUGGUAGUAAUUAUAGGAUGCGUAUAUUUGUGUUCUUUGCCAUAAUUGCACUGCACAUGAAAAUAUACUACCAGGGAAAUGGAAUACCCAUAUUCUUUUGCCACUGUAUCCAGUUGGUGAGUUAAAUUUUCACUUUGACAAGGGGGUGACAAGACAGGGAGAAAACAUACCUUACCUCUUCCAUUUUUCACAUAGCUUUACCCUGUAGAAACUUCUUCCCAGCACCAAAUCCUGGUUUGCAACUUGUAUAUUUCCUUCAUAACAUAAUUUAUAAAUAUUUUAUUCAUGUGUUGAGUUUUAAAAUCAGUCUCUCCCACCAGAGUGUGAUCAUUUUUAAGGACAGGGAUUAUGUGUGUCCUGAUAAUCACUGUUUUCUAGGAACUAGAAUAGUAUUUGGCACAAGUUGGCACUCAAACAUUUAUUGAAUGAAUGAAUUUGAAGGAAAUUAC